GAGUAGAGGAAGGAGAAGUCGUAACAAGGUUUUCGUAGGUGAACCUGCGAAAGGAUCAUUAU
rnacentral:rRNA from 1 species